AGCAGCCGCGGUAAUUCCAGCUCCAAUAGCGUAUAUUAAAGUUGUUGCAGUUAAAAAGCUCGUAGUUGAAUUUCGGGAUUGGCGCAUCGGUCGUGCCUCACGGGGUAUGAACUGGUGCAGUCAAUUUCUCACCUUCUGGAGAACCGCGAUGUCCUUAAUUGGAUGCCGCGGGGAACCAGGACCUUUACUUUGAAAAAAUUAGAGUGUUUAAAGCAGGCAUUUUUGCUUGAAUACAUUAGCAUGGAAUAAUAAAAUAGGACGGCAUGGUUCUAUUUUGUUGGUUUCUAGGACCACCGUAAUGAUUAAUAGGGAUAGUUGGGGGCAUUAGUAUUCAAUUGUCAGAGGUGAAAUUCUUGGAUUUAUUGAAGACUAACUACUGCGAAAGCAUUUGCCAAGGAUGUUUUCAUUAAUCAAGAACAAAGUUAGGGGAUCGAAGACGAUCAGAUACCGUCGUAGUCUUAACCAUAAACUAUGCCGACUAGGAAUCAGACGAUGUUAAUUUUUAAUGACUCGUUUUGGC
rnacentral:rRNA from 1 species